rnacentral:siRNA from 1 species
UCAAGCUGUUAUCUAAUCGAUACC